rnacentral:tRNA from 1 species
GGUCCCAUCGUCUAGUGGCCCAGGACACCGGCCUCUCACGUCGGGAACACGGGUUCGAACCCCGUUGGGACCACCA